GGUGAGGCAUGGCCUCGGGCUGUCUUGGUUUGGGUCAUCGGGGCCAGUGUUUUCCAUGUCUUUAAAAUGUCCUAUGUAGAAUCCCCAGGUGACUAAUCGUCCUUUGAGAACUAAGGCAUGAACCUUUAUGCUGGUUAAUUGACAAUAGGGAUUUCACCAAAGGAAGAUACAAUCUCUUUUGGUACUACUUAGAUCAUCAGGGAUAUUCAAGUGUCUUGUACUCUGAUUUUCGUUAAUCAAGUACUUCUUGUUAUGAAGGAAACAUUAAAUUGAUCCCAAAACAUGAACAUGGGAAGUGACAUUGGCCUAAUGUACCCGUGAUGAUUAGAACAUGGGUCAGGUGCCAGUGGUGAGUCAUGAAUGACGCAUGAUAAGGGUCUGAAGCCCUGUGGCCCCACACAGUCCAUCCUCUUUGGCUCUGUUUAGGCCAUCCUGUGGACAGGUGUUAGGAACACAGAAAGUUCGGGUUCUUACAGCGUAUACGUUUUCAAAGUAUUCAUACAGCAAGGAGAACACCAUGAAAGUUAUAGGUAAUAGUUGAAGAGCAUAUGUUGUUGUCUAAUUAUGAGCAAAUAUGUUGAAGAAAGAAAUAUUAAUCAAAAUUGCCAACAGCAGCGCUCCUUAUGAGAUAAGUCAGUCAAACGGUCACCUUUGUGGCCAAUUAUCAGAGAGACUUGAAGAGUUGUAAGUGUUAGAAAUUUCCUGUAUUGUUGUGAGUCAGUUUCAAGUUUGAGGUAGUUCUUUCAGUCAAGAGACAAAACAGUCUCUAAAGCAUGGCUAUGCUUUACAUUGUUAAGUAACAGGGCAGAUGAAAUGUAGAGGCAAGACGCGACGGUGAUCCCUUUUCUUUUCUUUCUCUUUUUCAUCAUUGGCUGUGCUUUGUGCUGUCAAACGUGCUCACGCUGGAGCGGAUUGAGCGUGAUCCCACGGUGACGUCACACGUCUUCUCGGGUGUUGUGAAUGAUUGAGUGUCUGAAUGACUGUGUGGGAAUUGCUGAAUCCGUCAAUGAAGUAAUACACGUGAAGGAGGCACAGAGACCCCGUCACGGACCAGUGAUGAGGCGCGUGACGGGAAGAGUCCUGAAGGAAGAAAGCAUCUCUGAAACUCUGAGGAUGAAGGCGUUAGAGAUGGUUGAACAUCUGCCACGGGCACGGGCUCGGUGGUUGCCUCUAUAUAGUAGAAUGGAGAUUAAUGUGAGUAACGGCUGAGUUUCUUUGCUUGGACUUUUUCGAUUCGAGUGAUUACUGUACUAUUAAGAAAUGUGGGGGAGUUUCCUGACAGCGGUGGGUUAAGGAUCCGGCUUUCCCUGGGUCGGUGCUGUGGUGUGGGUUUGAUGACGGGCGUGGGAACUUUCUUGUGCCACAGUCCCGGGAAGAAAAUAAGUAAAUCCGGGUACGGAAUCCAAAAGAAAUGCAGAAUCUAAGUAGCGGAGGCAGCGGCAUCUGAGUGUUGAGUAUGGAGUAUAGACCAUGAUAUAGAUUAAGGCACCUAUAGCGAAAGAGAGCAUUGGUCUGCGAUGUGUUAGGGGAAGAAUGAUUCGAGGUGCUUGUUUAGUAUGUUGUUUGUAAAAGGUACUUCUAAAAUGAUUCCUCACUUUUUGAUUUGAUUAAUUUAUUUUGGUCCUUGUGUGGAAAACAGAAGUUUCCAGGCCAAGGAUCCAAUCCCGGCCACAGUAGUGACAAGGCUGAUCCUUAAGUGCUCGGCCCCAGAGAACCACUGCAUGUUUUCAAUUGAGUCGACAAAGAAAUUAGAGUGUUAAGUAGGAAAGGGGGACAGUAUUGGAUCGAUGAUGACUACUGGUGGCGUAUGAGUCGUGUACGAUGAAUACGUGUCUGGAACGCUGAGGUCCAAUGUCCUCCGUGCCGUGACCCUCGCGGGCGAGGCCAGGCAUCCAGGGGGGCCGUCCGUGUGUCCUCUGGGGGGCCUUCCUGGUGCUUGCGUUCGCCCAGUGGGCCAGUGGGAGCCCCUGUGGACCAGCCUGCCAGAACUGAAGGAGGAGAGCGAGGGAGGGCCGGCAUUCCCAAGGCGCCAGGUCCCUGGUGACCCCACCCCCCAU
ensembl:lncRNA